rnacentral:rRNA from 1 species
GAUGAACGCUGGCGGCGUGCCUAAUUCAUGCAAGUCGAGCGAACGGACGAGAAGCUUGCUUCUCUGAUGUUAGCGGCGGACGGGUGAGUAACACGUGGAUAACCUACCUAUAAGACUGGGAUAACUUCGGGAAACCGGAGCUAAUACCGGAUAAUAUUUUGAACCGCAUGGUUCAAAAGUGAAAGACGGUCUUGCUGUCACUUAUAGAUGGAUCCGCGCUGCAUUAGCUAGUUGGUAAGGUAACGGCUUACCAAGGCAACGAUGCAUAGCCGACCUGAGAGGGUGAUCGGCCACACUGGAACUGAGACACGGUCCAGACUCCUACAGGAGGCAGCAGUAGGGAAUCUUCCGCAAUGGGCGAAAGCCUGACGGAGCAACGCCGCGUGAGUGAUGAAGGUCUUCGGAUCGUAAAACUCUGUUAUUAGGGAAGAACAUAUGUGUAAGUAACUGUGCACAUCUUGACGGUACCUAAUCAGAAAGCCACGGCUAACUACGUG